AGAACGAACGCUGGCGGCAUGCCUAACACAUGCAAGUCGAACGAGACCUUCGGGUCUAGUGGCGCACGGGUGCGUAACGCGUGGGAAUCUGCCCUUAGGUUCGGAAUAACAGUUAGAAAUGACUGCUAAUACCGGAUAAUGACGUAAGUCCAAAGAUUUAUCGCCUAGGGAUGAGCCCGCGUAGGAUUAGCUAGUUGGUGGGGUAAAAGCCUACCAAGGCGACGAUCCUUAGCUGGUCUGAGAGGAUGAUCAGCCACACUGGGACUGAGACACGGCCCAGACUCCUACGGGGGGCAGCAGUGGGGAAUAUUGGACAAUGGGCGAAAGCCUGAUCCAGCAAUGCCGCGUGAGUGAUGAAGGCCUUAGGGUUGUAAAGCUCUUUUACCCGGGAUGAUAAUGACAGUACCGGGAGAAUAAGCUCCGGCUAACUCCGUGCCAGCAGCCGC
rnacentral:rRNA from 1 species